AGCAGCCGCGGUAAUUCCAGCUCCAAUAGCGUAUAUUAAAGUUGUUGCAGUUAAAAAGCUCGUAGUUGAAUUUCGGGAUCAGUAGGUCGGUCAUGCCCUUGGUAUGUACUGGUGUUACUGGUUCCUACCUUCUGACGAACCGUCAUGUCAUUAAUUUGGUGUGGCGGGAAAUCAGGACUGUUACUUUGAAAAAAUUAGAGUGUUUAAAGCAGGCUAACGCUUGAAUACAUUAGCAUGGAAUAAUGAAAUGGGACGAUCGAUCCUAUUUUGUUGGUUUCUAGGAUUGACGUAAUGAUUAAUAGGGAUAGUUGGGGGCAUUAGUAUUCAAUUGUCAGAGGUGAAAUUCUUGGAUUUAUUGAAGACUUAACCACUGCGAAAGCAUUUGCCAAGGAUGUUUUCAUUAAUCAAGAACGAAAGUUAGGGGAUCGAAGACGAUCAGAUACCGUCGUAGUCUUAACCAUAAACCUNUAGCCGACUAGGGAUCGGAUGAUGUUAAUUUUNUAAUGACUCAUUCGGCGCC
rnacentral:rRNA from 1 species